UACGGAGGGUGCGAGCGUUGUCCGGAUUUAUUGGGUUUAAAGGGUGCGUAGGCGGCCCCGUAAGUCGGCGGUGAAACCCACGGGCUCAACCCGUGGCGUGCCGACGAUACUGCGGGGCUUGGGUCGUCUCUGGGCGGGCGGAAUGGAAGGUGUAGCGGUGAAAUGCAUAGAUAUCUACCAGAACGCCGUUAGCGAAGGCAGCUCGCUGGGGACGUACCGACGCUGAGGCACGAUAGCGUGGGGAUCGAACAGG
rnacentral:rRNA from 1 species